rnacentral:rRNA from 1 species
AUGGGCGACUCCUCGGUGGCCCCCGCCGGCGCGCUCGUGCCGUCGGUGCCCAAGCCGGAGCACGCGCCGUCCGGGGGCGACCCGGCGGCCCAGCUCCAGGCCCUGGCGGCGGCGGCGGACGACGCGUGCGCGGGCGCCUCGCCGUCGUCGUCGCCGGAGGCGGCGGAGGGGGCGGAGGCGGAUGCAGCGGGGGACAGGGACCUGCUCUGCCCGAUCUGCAUGGGGCUCAUCAAGGACGCCUUCCUCACCGCCUGCGGCCACAGCUUCUGCUACAUGUGCAUCGUCACGCACCUCAACCACAAGAGCGACUGCCCCUGCUGCGCCAACUACCUCACCAAGGCGCAGCUCUACCCCAACUUCCUCCUCGACAAGGUCGUGAAGAAAAUGUCGGCCCGGCAAGUUGCGAAAACAGCAUCUCCCAUUGAUCAAUUCCGACAUGUUGUGCAACAGGGAAAUGACAUGACAGUUAAAGAGCUAGACAGCCUUAUGACUUUGAUUGCUGAGAAGAAGAGGCAAAUGGAACAACAAGAGUCAGAGACAAAUAUGCAAAUAUUGCUAGUCUUCUUGCACUGCCUUAGAAAGCAAAAGCUUGAAGAGUUGAAUGAGAUUCAAACUGACCUGCAGUACAUCAAAGAUGAUAUAAGCAGUGUGGAGAGACAUAGGUUAGAUCUGUAUCGAACAAAAGAAAGGUACUCCAUGAGGCUGCGCAUGCUUUUGGAUGAACCUGCUGCAUCAAAGAUGUGGCCUUCGCCUAUGGACAAACCUAGUAGUCCCUUUGUUCCCAACUCUCGGGCACCACCUAGCACAUCAUCUCCAGGGGGGUUAAGUAAUAGGAGGUUUGAUUUGAGAGCACCGGCAAGCCAUCAAGGACAUCAAAGAAGAGAUGCCCUUGCUAGCUCAGACCCUCCCAAUCCCCCUCUACAGUCGGGUAAUGUUAUUGCUCGGAAGAGGCGAGUUCAAGCGCAGUUUAACGAGCUUCAAGAAUACUAUUUGCAAAGACGGCGUACUGGAGCGCAGUCUCACAGGCAGGAGGAUGCUGUUACGAUGAAUAGAGAAGGUUAUCAUGAAGGUCUUGAAGAUUUUCAGUCUGUGCUUACAACAUUCACUCGAUAUAGUCGCUUACGUGUAAUUGCGGAACUUAGACAUGGAGAUCUGUUCCACUCAGCAAAUAUUGUAUCCAGUAUCGAAUUUGACCGUGAUGAUGAGCUAUUCGCUACUGCUGGAGUCUCGAAGCGUAUUAAAGUCUUUGAAUUUUCUACAGUUGUUAAUGAGCCAUCAGAUGUCCACUGUCCAGUUGUUGAAAUGGCUACCAGAUCUAAACUCAGCUGCCUUAGCUGGAACAAGUACUCAAAAAAUGUUAUAGCAAGUAGUGAUUAUGAAGGCAUAGUUACUGUUUGGGAUGUUCAAACCCGCCAGAGUGUAAUGGAGUAUGAAGAGCAUGAGAAAAGAGCAUGGAGUGUUGAUUUUUCACGUACAGAGCCCAAGAUGCUAGUAUCUGGUAGUGAUGAUUGCAAGGUCAAAGUGUGGUGCACAAAUCAGGAAGCAAGUGCCAUUAACAUUGAUAUGAAGGCAAAUAUUUGCUCUGUUAAAUAUAAUCCUGGAUCGAGCUACUAUGUCGCAGUCGGAUCUGCUGAUCACCAUAUUCAUUAUUUUGAUUUACGAAAUCCAAGUGCACCUCUCCAUGUUUUUGGUGGGCACAAGAAAGCUGUUUCUUAUGUGAAAUUCUUAUCAAAUAAUGAGCUUGCAUCUGCAUCGACCGAUAGCACGUUACGGUUAUGGGAUGUCAAGGACAAUUGCCCACUAAGGACUUUCAGAGGGCACAAAAAUGAGAAGAACUUCGUAGGACUAUCUGUAAAUAACGAAUAUAUUGCUUGCGGGAGUGAAACAAAUGAGGUUUUUGUUUACCACAAGGCUAUCUCAAAACCUGCUUCCAGCCAUCGGUUUCUAUCCACGGACCUGGACGACGCCGAGGAUGAUCCCGGGUCUUAUUUCAUCAGCGCUGUCUGCUGGAAGAGCGAUAGCCCUACUAUGCUAACUGCUAACAGCCAGGGGACCAUUAAAGUUCUCGUGCUCGCCCCUUGA